CGCAGCAAUCCCAGCCUGAGAAGGGAGCGGCGACGGGGGACCCCUGGGGUCACCUCCCCGGGGAGCAUCUGUGGCCAGCUCGGGUGUGGCUGUCAGGGCGAGAGGGUGAGCAUCGGGUCCCGACCCCGGCUGGGCGGCAGCUGUGAGGCCUGUGGUCGGUGUCUCCCGACCUCUGCCUUCCACGGCCAGCGUGGGAGAGAGAGGCCCGAGGGAACCUGAAGGGCGACUCACAGAGGGGCUGCGGAGGACGGGGUCACAGGGCCGCCCCUUGGCUCUGUGGAGCUCGCACGGCAGAUCGGAGGGACAGAAGUUCUCGGCAGGGAGCCCCUGUGUGGAAAGAGGAGAGCGACUGUGUUUUGCCACUCGCUGGCUGUUAGACCUCAGGAUCUCGCUGUGUCACUAACUCACUGAGGCUGGGCUCAAACUUUCCAUUCUCCUGCCUCAGCCUCCGGAGUAGCUGGGAUUGCAUGGGGCCUGGCAUCCGCGGAAACUUUGAGGACUUCUGGACAGGCCUUCGGAGGGGUCCUCCUGAUGUCCACUCCUCACACCCUGCUUUCCUCUGCCUGCGGCUGCCAGGUCUGUCCUCAGCCUCUGAGGAAACUGAGUCUCGCAGUACCCGAGACACCAUGCCACACGGGGAAACUGAGGCCAUGUAUUUUAUUAAAAUCCUUCAUAGAUUCUUCAAGAAUACUCAUUAGAAGAUCCCUUUCUUUAUCCUGCCCCCUUGAGCUGGGGUGGCAGGCGC